GGUGAACGCUGGCGGCGUGCCUAAUACAUGCAAGUCGAGCGAACAGAUGAGGAGCUUGCUCCUCUGACGUUAGCGGCGGACGGGUGAGUAACACGUGGAUAACCUACCUAUAAGACUGGGAUAACUUCGGGAAACCGGAGCUAAUACCGGAUAAUAUAUUGAACCGCAUGGUUCGAUAGUGAAAGACGGUUUUGCUGUCACUUAUAGAUGGAUCCGCGCCGCAUUAGCUAGUUGGUAAGGUAACGGCUUACCAAGGCAACGAUGCGUAGCCGACCUGAGAGGGUGAUCGGCCACACUGGAACUGAGACACGGUCCAGACUCCUACGGGAGGCAGCAGUAGGGAAUCUUCCGCAAUGGGCGAAAGCCUGACGGAGCAACGCCGCGUGAGUGAUGAAGGUCUUCGGAUCGUAAAACUCUGUUAUUAGGGAAGAACAAAUGUGUAAGUAACUAUGCACGUCUUGACGGUACCUAAUCAGAAAGCCACGGCUAACUACGUG
rnacentral:rRNA from 1 species